UACGUAGGGUGCAAGCGUUGUCCGGAAUUAUUGGGCGUAAAGAGCUCGUAGGCGGUUUGUCGCGUCUGCUGUGAAAUCCCGAGGCUCAACCUCGGGCCUGCAGUGGGUACGGGCAGACUGGAGUGCGGUAGGGGAGAAUGGAAUUCCUGGUGUAGCGGUGGAAUGCGCAGAUAUCAGGAGGAACACCGAUGGCGAAGGCAGGUCUCUGGGCCACUACUGACGCUGAGAAGCGAAAGCAUGGGGAGCGAACAGG
rnacentral:rRNA from 1 species